AUGACUACCAACUCAGCAGCUGCUGUAAAUCGCACAGCCCAGCCACGACCACAGCGGCUGUCCGCGCCGUACUCUCCGCCGGAACCAUCAAACAACAACAGCGACCUUCCAUCCUCUUCGCGAUCGCAUCCGCGACAUCACCAUCAUCACCGGUUCAACAUGCCUCUUUGUUUGCAUGGUAAUUUCCGAAAUUAUCUCGUUGAUUCAAUUAUAUGUUUUAGGAAACAAAGGAAAGGAAGAUUGUAA